rnacentral:rRNA from 1 species
UACGAAGGGGGCUAGCGUUGUUCGGAAUUACUGGGCGUAAAGCUGCGCGCAGGCGGUUCUUCAAGUCAGAGGUGAAAGCCCAGAGCUCAACUCUGGAAUGGCCUUUGAGACUAGAGAACUAGGGUACGGGAGAGGUGAGUGGAAUUCCGAGUGUAGAGGUGAAAUUCGUAGAUAUUCGGAAGAACACCGAGUGGCAGGAGGGC